UUCACUGCAUUCGUCACUAUUUUAUAAAUGCAAUUUUGUUUACAUUUUUCCGUUGCAAGUUUUCCUCUAAUCUGUUAAUUAAAAUAUCUAAAAUGAGUCAAACCGAUGGUAAAAAUUCUCCAUCAAAUUUAAGACAGAAUGUCAGUUUUAAAUUUUCAAAGAUUACUCCUAAAACAUUAACAGGAAAUCGAUUGGAUGAAGAAAAUAAAGAUUAUGUUUUGUCUGUUGAUAAAAACGAGAUUAAAAGUACUCUUCCGAAAGAUAAACCCAAAGAGUUGGUGAUUCCAUUAAUUAAAAGGAAUAACUGGAGAGGUUCAAAACCACUUGAAUCAGAUGAGAAAGAAAAGACUGAUCUUGAUAAUCUUGCUGUUCAAGAAAUAUUGAAGGAAACAUCUGAAAGAAAUGCCAAGUGGGAAAAUCGAGAAUUUUCCAAUGUUACUGUUUCUAUUCCUCUCAUUAUGCAAAACAAGAUACCUGAAGGAUUUGAGACGGAUGAUAAAUUAGAUGUGUCUUUAAGAGCUGAAGAGUCAACUCUGGAAGAUUAUGAAAAAAUUCCUGUUGAGCAUUUUGGCAUGGCUAUGAUUCGAGGAAUGGGAUGGAAAGAGGGGGAAGGUAUUGGGAAUAAUAAUAAAAUGUGUGUUCAGCCUAUUGAAGCACAACGUAGACCUAAAGGCCUUGGACUGGGAGCAGAUGCUUCUGCUGUGAAAAAGAAUCAAGAAAAGGCGAAAGAAGAAAAAUUAGAAUUGAUUAAAGGAGCUUAUGUUAAUAUUACUCAAGGUCAACACAAGGGAUUUUAUGGAGAGGUUUUAGGUUUAGAUGAAGAAAAUGCUCGUGCAAUUGUGAAAUUAACUACUGAUGAGAAAGUAACCUUGCCUGAAUUUUAUAUUAAUGUUGUCAGCAAGAAAGAAUUUGACAAAGAAAGCAGAAUCAUAAACAGAGCUGCUUAUGAAAACUUCAAAAGAGAAAAAGAAGAAAAAGAAAAAAAUGAGAAGCAAUCAUUGAAAAGGGAAAGAGAAGAAGAUCCAACAGAUCCAAAAGCAGAAAGAAAAGACAAGACUAAAACAUCCAAUGAAAGAAAUUCUAAUAAAUCUGAGAAGCGUUCUAAAAGACAUCAUAGUAGAGAAAGAAGGUUAGUAUUGAAUUGUAAUUCAGUGGUCAGUUACAUGAUAACUCAAAUUAAUGCUUUUUGUUCUCUUAUAUUACCAUUUGCUGUUUUUUAUUUAAUAGUAUUAUAUUGCUUAGUCAUAUUUCAUUGAAAGUAACUCAUUUCUAUUAUAGUAAAAUUAUUUCAUAUUCAUUACAAUAAUCUUUUUAUAAUUACUUGAGCUUUGAAGACUAUUUCUUGCUGCUUUAAUCCAUUAUGGUCCAACUUAAUUUAAAGUAUAGAUUACAAUAAAAUUAUUUUAAAUUAUGUUGAAAAUGCUAAGCUUAUAAUAAUUAAAUGCUUAUAAUAAUUAGCAUUAGUUUUAUGCUAGUAAAAUUAAAUGUUAAACUGAGGAUAGUUACGUAAUAAAACUAGAUUCUAAUGAGACAAAAUUAGUAAAUUUAUAUUAUUUAAUAUUAUAAAAUAUCAAAAAAUAAUGGUUGUUUUAUGAUUAAUUGCAUUACUUUAAAAAUAAAAUUUUAAAAAUUUCAAAGUAAUGUUAUAUGUUUGCUGAAAAUUAUUUAGAAUUGUGAGAAUACAUAAGGACUUAUUAGAUGAAGUAAAAAAGAGUCAAUGGGUUCACUUUAGCCAUAUAAAGAAAAAAAUAAAUAUCCUAUAAAUUGAAUACUAUGCAAUAUUUGUUAAAUUCCUUGCUUGCUUAUUAUCAUUAACAUUUUAGUUUCAUGUUAAAUACUUUUUACUAAAUUGUAAUGCAGCAUUUUGCUUGUCUUAUUCAACUAAUAUUCAUAGUAAACAUUUGUUUCAAAAUUUCUUAAUUUUGGUAUAGCAUUUCAUUUAUUUGUUAAAAACUUCAUUUCACCAAAAAAGGGGGGGGGGGUAAGAGACGUUAUUUUUGUUAAGGAAUUUUUUAUAUAAUAAUUUUUCUUAUAUAAAUGAUUAUAUACUUAUUCAGUAUAUCUGGUUGGUAUAUAAUCAUGUGUUUUAAAUUAUUAGCAUUUAAUUAUUUAAAAUGUUUGAUAAAAUAUAAGCCAUAGUUUCUGAAACAACUAUAUUUUACAUGCUUCUAUAAUUAUUUAUGUGUGUGUGUUAUGUUAUGUGUGUAUUUACAUCUGUUUUCUCUAUCUUUUUUUUAUUAUUAUUAUUUUGAUUAGCAAUUUUACAUGUUAGUUAAAAAAAAAAGAUUUUAUCUCAUAUUCUGAUUUAAAAAAUAUUUGCAAUUAUUGCUAUCAAAGCUGUAUAUUUUCAUUUCAUCUGAAUAUUGUAUGCUCUUUUUUGUGUUGUGGCUACUUCAGUUUUAUCCAAUAAGUUUACCAAUUUGUAUGUAGAAUACAAAGGAAAAUAAAUUUCCUAGUUUCCAUUAUAAGUUUUAGCCUUUAGUCAUCCAACUUUAUCCUAAGUUCAUCAAUAAAUGUACAUCCAUACUAUUCUCAUAAGGUAAAGUUGCCUUUAAAUGCUAAAAUCACUUUAGAGUUAUGGAGAAAAUGAAUUUAAAAAUUGACCAUUCCUCACCUUGUAUUAACUUCCUAGUUCAAGGAAGAAGAAGUGCAAAUGCAAUUAUUUCAGAUACUAUUUUCUAAUAUCUGCUGAAAUUCUUGAUUGCCAAGGAAGUCAUCUCGUAUAUGAGAAUGGGAGGCCAGGAUAUGUGCUUGGUAUCCCAAAUAUUGAUGGUGCUGGAAAAGAGACAUGAUUAACAGGUACCUGUGCUGACUGGAAUGACAGUUUGGCUGUACCAAAAUGGGUCAUUUGUCUGUGAGCUUAAUAUUCGAUUCUGUUGCUUUUGACCAAUCUUCAUUCAAAUGUUUUCUUCUGACUUUAAUUCAUGUUUCAGGCUGGUUUUACUUAUGAUUAUUUUUUUUUAUUGUAUUGCAGCAUGAAACUCUUACAUGAAGGGUAUAUUAUUCUUUAGUUAAAUAUUUUAAUGUGGAUUUUUUAAAAUUAUAAUUUGAAAGGAAUGCAUACUUAAUAUUAUUUUUUUGUUCUUCUAUUUACUUUUAGUGAAGAAAACCACAGUUAUAGCUCAAAAUCUUCCAAACUGUGGGUGAGACCUCAGUUGAGGGUUCGAUUCAUUGAUGAUAAAUAUAAGAAAGGACGAUAUUUUAAUCAAAAGAUGACAGUUGUUGAUGUAAUGUCUUCAAAAUCGUGUUC